rnacentral:rRNA from 1 species
CAGUAGCAAUACUGAGUGGCAGACGGGUGAGUAACAUGUGGGAAUCUGCCUUGUGGUUCAGGACAACAUUGGGAAACCGAUGCUAAUACUGGAUAAGCCCUUACGGGGAAAGUUUUAAUGCCAUAAGAUGAGCCCGCAUUUGAUUAGUUAGUUGGUGAGGUAAUGGCUCACCAAGACAAUGAUCAAUAGCUGAUCUGAGAGGAUGAUCAGCCACACUGGGACUGAGACACGGCCCAGACUCCUACGGGAGGCAGCAGUGGGGAAUCUUGCACAAUGGAGGAAACUCUGAUGCAGCGAUGCCGCGUGAGUGAAGAAGGCCUUUGGGUUGUAAAGCUCUUUUGUAGGGGAAGAUAAUGACUGUACCCUAAGAAUAAGGUCCGGCUAACUUCGUGCCAGCAGCCGCGGUAAUACGAAGGGACCUAGCGUAGUUCGGAAUUACUGGGCGUAAAGCGCGCGUAGGCCGUUGAGUUAGUUAAUUGUGAAAUCCCAAAGCUUAACUUUGGAACUGCAAUUAAAACUGCUCGACUAGAGUUUGAUAGAGGAAAGCGGAAUACAUAGUGUAGAGGUGAAAUUCGUAGAUAUUAUGUAGAACACCAGCUGCGAAGGCGGCUUUCUGGAUCAACACUGACGC